CUUCGAUCAUCUCGAUGACAAUGGAGGGAGGACACCACAUCUACCUAAGGAUCAUGCAGCCAUCAGCUUGGCCUUUUCCGCCAAGAGAGAGAGAGGAAACCGUAUUUGAAGUACAGCCUUCCUAUUCCUGCUGGGAGAGCUGCCAGCACACAGGUGGCAAACACAUCCAGGUGAAGGGCUGGCUCUCAUCUCCUCUUUUUUCCCCGACCUGUCCCCCGCACCUAGGGAAGACUGUUUGAAGCAACAUACUUCCUGCUGCCUGAGCUGCAUGUGUUCUGGAAGAGGCUGCCCAUCUCUCCCUCUUACACACAAACUGCACACACAUGUGGGGAACAGACGAAUUUUUUUAACCAUGCUGUAUUUAGCAUUCUUCUUUACUCAGAAUUUCAACUUCCAGAGUGUGUAUGUG
rnacentral:lncRNA from 1 species